GCAAAACCACAGAAACAGCAAAACCCAGCCCUUCUGGAUUCUACUAAAAGAAAAAAAAGAAAAAAGAAAAAAGAGAAAAUUUUUGAGUAAGGUUGUAAUAAACGUUAUGCAGAUUACAUCCAUGCAAUUAAAGUUGAACCCAUCCUGGUGUACGAUAUUAAGGAUUCUGUUCUGAAAAAUGAGCUUUUCUCUAUUUAUUCCUUGAAGUGAACAAUCACCCAGUGAAAACAAAAGCUCCUGCUGAAGACAACAGAAGAUAGAGGAUGGAGUAACCUAUCUGGAAAGAAGAAGAACUGCAGAAGCCUUUGACACUCACUGUUUUCAAGAUCUGGGAAAGCUUUCCUCCUGCAAGGAGCAGAAACAUUCACUGGCUUGUUUCAGUCAGUGUGAAAGCCAGGAGCAGAAUGGAGACAACCUGGUUCCCACCUCUGAGACAGAAUAUAUUUCUCUGCAUUUUUAACUGUCCUUACCUUGGCUGCUUUGGAUUCUCUGAAUUUCUGAGUUGAAAAGUGUGAAUACUCAGAUACUUCUGCAGGAAUGCAUUUCAUAGAGAACAAAAGUAAUCAUGGCAGCAAAUAAAGAUAUCAUAUCAGAGUAGAAGGCUUGGUCUUGCAAUCAUGGCAGAUACAGGAAAAUAUGUUUGAUUUUCUGGCUACAUUCCUAAGAUGGUUAAACAUCCUUGGACAGAAGGAUACAUGAAUGGCUUUCAUUCUUCUUGCUUUCUUAAAAACUGAGAAAUCUAUUAACCAAACAGUCUGGAACAGCCAGUCAUAAAGUACUGAAGACCAAAUUCACCAACAUUAUAUUUGAGGAUGGAACUCAGACCAGUUUGGACUCACAAUUGGAUGCGUAAGGCCACAUUCUUGUAUUCAGGAACGCUUCUGUAACAGAAAGGGCUGGAGAUGCUCUUUCUCUCUCUUGUACUGCAUUGAAGAGCCUAUAAAGGUCAGGAAGCAAUAGAAAAUACAGGUGUGCAUCCUGCUGAGUGGACAAGAGCAUGAAGUAAGCCUUUCCCUGCUUCCAGGAUGAGUGUUCGAACUGUAUCCCCAGCAGAAAUUGCUCAUCUAGAUGUCAUAAGAUAAGAUAGAUGGAAUGAUUUUCAGCAUUGCUCAUGUACCUUGGGCAUGGAAGGUGGGCUUCAAGGUAAAAGUAUAUCUGCUCAGUAUCUUCUCAUCUGCAAGGCUGACAUGUGCCACUUGGAGGACAAAAGUGACUUCAGGAAGGACUGACAGCUAAACACUAAUUUUCAAAAAUCAAAGCCUUAAGCCUGCAUGCCAUAUUCUUAUGCUGACAAGUCACUGACAGAGUAUCAAGAAAUGGAGGCCACAAGAAACCUACCAAAUUCCCUGCAGAAGAUACCUGGGACAUAAUCGGAAUGAGGGGCUAUCACCAAAAGGUUGACAUUCCAAAGUGUUGAGCUCUACGGAUUUCCACAUCUGACUAUGGAAGCUGGAGACCUGUGAGAACCAGAUUUACAUUUACUUGUCUAAGAGCAGUCAUUUUCACACCUCUGGUGAAAUAUGGUUUCAGUGAAAUCAAGGACAAGUGUCACUUUUGGCUCAAUGGGACCAGGAUUCUUCAGCAAGAGAAAAAGUCUUUUGGACCCCAGAGACCCUGAAGCUUGAAAUAACAUCUUAGAGUGUCUCAACAAGUGCUGAUGAGAACUGAUUUCUCUGAGAUGAUAUACCCUGGAGCUGCUGGUCAUGCAGACUGUGAAAACUUUGUUUUGUGCUCUGAGAGGACCCACUGUUGUGACUUAAAUUGAAGAGGUGGGAAUAAACUUCUCAAGGAGGCACCCGGAUCAUCACUCACAUUUCAGCACAUGUAGGAAGAAGUGGAGGAAACAGUUACCAGAGAUAUCUGAGUAAUGGUGUUAAUCACACAGACUAAAGAGGUUGAAAGAAAGAUUCAGCACAUCCAGAACUGCAAAGUGAGCUGCAGCAGGGAACAUCAGCAAGGACCAUAUAUUUCAAACAGAAGCUGCCCUCUUUACUGUUUUUUUUUUAAAUAAAAGAUAUAUGGUUGAUCCAAAUGUGAAUGAUAUAUAUAGCAGAUGAACCCAGCAGUGUUUGUCGCUGAGUAUGUGAGGAAAGUGCUACCUUGGGAAAAUUGAACUAAACAAGAAAGUUAAAGAUUAAUAAUUAUUUUCCAUUUUGUGUUGUUUCCUUUCUUACUUUCAAGUUUGCUUGUAUUUUAAAGAUAGUGGAAUUUGAAAACUGCAACAGCCUCUAAAAACCGUUCUUGUUUGGGGGAAAAAAAGAGGAGAAAAGAUCUUUUCCAUCUGUCCAAGCAGGCCUAAAGACAUAAAUGUCUU
ensembl:lncRNA